rnacentral:rRNA from 1 species
AACGAACGCUGGCGGCAGGCUUAACACAUGCAAGUCGAGCGCAUCCUUCGGGGUGAGCGGCAGACGGGUGCGUAACGCGUGGGAAUCUACCUUUUGCUACGGAAUAGCUCCGGGAAACUGGAAUUAAUACCGUAUGUGCCCUUAGGGGGAAAGAUUUAUCGGCAAGAGAUGAGCCCGCGUUGGAUUAGCUAGUUGGUGGGGUAAAGGCCUACCAAGGCGACGAUCCAUAGCUGGUCUGAGAGGAUGAUCAGCCACAUUGGGACUGAGACACGGCCCAAACUCCUACGGGAGGCAGCAGUGGGGAAUAUUGGACAAUGGGCGCAAGCCUGAUCCAGCCAUGCCGCGUGAGUGAUGAAGGCCUUAGGGUUGUAAAGCUCUUUCACCGGAGAAGAUAAUGACGGUAUCCGGAGAAGAAGCCCCGGCUAACUUCGUG